CAUGCCGCGUGUGUGAAGAAGGCCUGCGGGUUGUAAAGCACUUUUAUCAGGGAAGAAACGGCCUGGGCCAAUACCCCAUGGCAAUUGACGGUACCUGAAGAAUAAGCACCGGCUAACUCCGUGCCAGCAGCCGCGGUAAUACGGAGGGUGCAAGCGUUAAUCGGAAUUACUGGGCGUAAAGCGUGCGCAGGCGGCUGAUUAAGUCAAAUGUGAAAGCCCUGGGCUUAACCUGGGAAUGGCAUUCGAUACUGGUCAGCUAGAGUUUGGUAGAGGUAAGCGGAAUUCCGGGUGUAGCGGUGAAAUGCGUAGAUAUCCGGAGGAACAUCAGUGGCGAAGGCGGCUUACUGGACCAAAACUGACGCUCAGGCACGAAAGCGUGGGUAGCAAACAGGAUUAGAUACCCUGGUAGUCCACGCCCUAAACUAUGUCAACUAGCCGUUGGGUCCCUUUAAUAGGACUUAGUGGCGAAGCUAACGCGUUAAGUUGACCGCCUGGGGAGUACGGCCGCAAGGUUGAAACCUCAAGGAAUUGACGGGGGCCCCCACAAGCGGUGGAGCAUGUGGUUUAAUUCGAUGCAACGCAAAGAACCUUACCACCCCCUUGACUCCUCGGAAACUUGGGAGAGAUACCUUGGUGCCCUUCCGGAACCAAGUGGACGGGGCCGGCAUGGCUGUCCUCCACCUCCUGCCCUGAAAAGGUUGGGUUAA
rnacentral:rRNA from 1 species